CUUAGAGUUUGAUCCUGGCUCAAGACGAACGCUGGCGGCGUGCCUAACACAUGCAAGUCGAACGAAGCUUUGAGGAGCUUGCUUUUUAAAGCUUAGUGGCGGACGGGUGAGUAACGCGUGAGCAACCUGCCUCUCAGAGGGGGAUAACGUUUUGAAAAGAACGCUAAUACCGCAUAACAUAUCGGAACCGCAUGAUUCUGAUAUCAAAGGAGCAAUCCGCUGAGAGAUGGGCUCGCGUCCGAUUAGUUAGUUGGUGAGGUAACGGCUCACCAAGACUACGAUCGGUAGCCGGACUGAGAGGUUGAUCGGCCACAUUGGGACUGAGACACGGCCCAGACUCCUACGGGAGGCAGCAGUGGGGGAUAUUGCGCAAUGGGGGAAACCCUGACGCAGCAACGCCGCGUGAAGGAAGAAGGUCUUCGGAUUGUAAACUUCUUUUGUCAGGGACGAAGAAAGUGACGGUACCUGACGAAUAAGCUCCGGCUAACUACGUGCCAGCAGCCGCGGUAAUACGUAGGGAGCGAGCGUUGUCCGGAUUUACUGGGUGUAAAGGGUGCGUAGGCGGCCGAGCAAGUCAGUUGUGAAAACUAUGGGCUUAACCCAUAACGUGCAAUUGAAACUGUCCGGCUUGAGUGAAGUAGAGGUAGGCGGAAUUCCCGGUGUAGCGGUGAAAUGCGUAGAGAUCGGGAGGAACACCAGUGGCGAAGGCGGCCUACUGGGCUUUAACUGACGCUGAGGCACGAAAGCAUGGGUAGCAAACAGGAUUAGAUACCCUGGUAGUCCAUGCCGUAA
rnacentral:rRNA from 1 species